rnacentral:tRNA from 1 species
AGAGCUGUGGCAUAGUGGGUAAAGCUGCUGCCUACAGUGAUGGCAUCCCAUUUGGGCACGGGUUUGAGUCCUGUCUGCUCCA